GUACUCUCCUCAAAGCCGAAGCUCACCACCCGCAGAGCCGGCGAAACUUGCCAGAGCGUCCGGCGCGCCCCGAGUCUGCGUGCCGCGCACGUUCGAGUAACACAAGGAGCCUCGACUCGGGCUCGGAGCGGGGUGAUCCCAGGUGCCUCGCCCCAACCGGAGCUCUACAACCAGAGAAUGGGACCACCCUGGGAGCUUUUUGCUUCCUCCUCUGCCUAGCAAUCAUGGCUCACCAGCUCGCUGGGCCACACAGGGCCAUGUCUCCUUCUGGGGCACAGUCACGGGAGUGCUCAGGGGCAGGAGCUGAGGGUGCCGGCAGAAGAGCUGGGUGAGCCAGGCAGAACAGCCGUCUGUGAGUGAGUCACAGUUCCAGAACAACCAGCAAAUGGCCCAGCACCUGCUUGCCCACCCUCACCCGCACCUGCCAGCCUUACCAGGGAGUUUUGGCCACUGUACAGCCCUGGUGGGAUGGGCCCAAACUGAUCACCCCUCCAGAAGAAAGUGACAGAUGUUAAUGCCAGUGGGUCCUGCCCUCCCCGUCAACAUGUCAAGACAUGAAAAAUUAGGGUAAAUGAAGGGUGCACGAUUAGAUUCGGACCCAAGCUGGGUCCUCAGGGGUGCCAGAGACAGCUGCAAACGCACGUCAGGGACAAAUGCCCUGAUGCAGCAGGGGCUGCCAGGCCAGGGUGCCUGGGGACAGCUGGACGAGGUGCUGACACAGGGCUCAUUCCUCUGUGAAGUCGUCCCUCAGCUGCUGGGAGUGCCGCCAGCCCUCGGGCUUGUGUGUGUCCUGGCUCUGGAGCCGAGCUGGAGGGGCUGCGGAUGGGCCCAUCAGGGACUUGGGCCCACCUAAGGGCUCAGCUUGUGUGUGGAUCUGCACAACACUAGCCCCAAGCUUGGGCUGACAGCUCCUCUCAGGGUGCCCCCCAUUUUGUUCACUCCUCCUUUUCUUGGCUCCCUGUCUGGCUUGCCCCGGGUCCUCCUGUAACCAGCCCCAAGCAACUGGACCUCAUCUCAGCCCCUCA